rfam:Mus musculus chromosome 11, GRC primary reference assembly.
UUCUCUAGAAAUGGGCAAAGAGGUACCUUGUUGGUGGUUUUGUUCUUGUAACAAUCAGGGGAAGAGCAGAUGGCAAUAAUUUAUUCAUGCUAGCUUGAUGCCUGGCUUGGUGGUCAAAGCUGUCUUACACCUAGAACUCAUAA